AACGAACGCUGGCGGCAUGCCUAAUACAUGCAAGUCGAACGAGAUCUUCGGAUCUAGUGGCGCACGGGUGCGUAACGCGUGGGAAUCUACCCUUGGGUUCGGAAUAACAGUUGGAAACGACUGCUAAUACCGGAUGAUGACGUAAGUCCAAAGAUUUAUCGCCCAAGGAUGAGCCCGCGUAGGAUUAGCUAGUUGGUGGGGUAAAGGCCUACCAAGGCUACGAUCCUUAGCUGGUCUGAGAGGAUGAUCAGCCACACUGGGACUGAGACACGGCCCAGACUCCUACGGGAGGCAGCAGUAGGGAAUAUUGGACAAUGGGCGAAAGCCUGAUCCAGCAAUGCCGCGUGAGCGAUGAAGGCCUUAGGGUUGUAAAGCUCUUUUACCCGGGAUGAUAAUGACAGUACCGGGAGAAUAAGCCCCGGCUAACUCCGUG
rnacentral:rRNA from 1 species